GAUCAGCUCGUACUCCGAAUGCAUCUAGAUUAGAGUUUGAUCCUGGCUCAGGACGAACGCUGGCGGCGUGCCUAAUACAUGCAAGUCGAGCGAACAGAGAAGGAGCUUGCUCCUUCGACGUUAGCGGCGGACGGGUGAGUAACACGUGGGCAACCUACCUUAUAGUUUGGGAUAACUCCGGGAAACCGGGGCUAAUACCGAAUAAUCUAUUUUACUUCAUUGGUGAAAUACUGAAAGACGGUUUCGGCUGUCGCUAUAAGAUGGGCCCGCGGCGCAUUAGCUAGUUGGUGAGGUAACGGCUCACCAAAGGCGACGAUGCGUAGCCGACCUGAGAGGGUGAUCGGCCACACUGGGACUGAGACACGGC
rnacentral:rRNA from 1 species